UGAAUUUAGGUGCCUGAAUGCUACCUCAGUCUCACUUUAGGCACAGAAGAGGAGGGUGGCCAUCAUGGAGAACAGUCCAGUUGCCCUCUGUCCUCUAUUGAUAUGAAACUAGAUGCCUUUAUGUCCUUGAUUUUUCAGGUUUCAUAUCAAUAGAGGACACCAUAGUAGAAAACCAAAAUGCUCUCUAUGAUGGUCCCCCUACAGAAGACCCUUUUCAUGAUGUUACUCUUUGUAGCCAGCUGGGCUGCUGCUUUUAAGGGCCAGGAAGCCUAGGGCUGGCCACCCUGGUCCAAUUAUCAAAUUCAGCUGGGAAGUUAUUAGAUGUUACUCACAAGGACCUGAGAGAAGGAGUAAGGCUUACUUCUCUACCAAAGGCUGAAGCAGAGGGGAAAUUGUGAACAGAAGGCUAAGGUGAAAUGAGAGCUGGGAUGGAAAAGGACAUUGCAGCAAGAAUGAAGAAUAAGAGAGAGGAGCAGGAACAGAAGACAAUGGAUAUGGACAAGAUAAUAGAUCGCAUCAAUGGAUGAAACUAGCUUGUGCUAUUGCAAAGCAAUUUCUCUUCUCCACAGCUCAGCAAACUUGCAGAAUAUUCUGCAUUUCAUUGUUCCUCAAAUCAUGAUGGCUUUUUGUUAAUGCUUAGUUGACUGAAUUGGAGCAGAAAAAAGCAGUCCUAUUAACGGCUUGUCUGGUAUCAGACUCCCUCUCUGUUCUCUCACAGCAGGAAAUCUUUUCACAGAACAAGUCACAGGCACAUCCCUUCAGAAAUCAGUGCAAACUCGUACCCUUUGCCAACAUCUUCACCCUGACCAACGCAAGCUCAAAAUUAAGCCCAUGGUGUCCAUUCCAAAAUGAGCUACAUGCCACUUGGGGCACAGUUGUAUCGGGUACUUACCUCCCUGUAUUCUGGUUAAUAUCUUGUCCAAACCUGUCAACUGACAUGUACCUCACAGGCGUAGAGAUGGGGGAUGAACUUUAAUCAGUCUAUUAGUGUCUCCCACGUGCACAGGCCUGCUAAAAGAUAUAUAAAUAGUAAUACAUCAAAUGCAUCUAAAGUAACAAUUUCAGGCUGCAGAGCAGAAAUUACAAAAGUAUCAUUAAUUGACUGCUGUCAGCAGUUUACUGUGAAGUGUUAUCAAUGCACUAUUUUCAUUGAAAUGUUUCAGAAUUUUUUGUCACCUUAUGGAAAGAAUAAUUGGUAUUUAAUUGUAGCCUGACUGAAUAGCAAAAACAUCCUUCCCCUUCCCAUCCUGCUGUUCCCCUGAAUUCAAUUUUAAAAUGGUCUUGAUCAAUUAAACUGGCUAGCCAAGAAUCACGCGUCUCAUCCUAUAGUGGACUCCAAUAAUAAACAGUCAACUGGAAAAAGGCACCCCUUACGGACUGUAAAGCCAAUGCAAAAUAUAGAUAACCAAACAUGGGCAAUAUAUGAAGUGAAAGGUGCAUUUAAGACAAAACAACAGGACCACUAGACAGACACUGGGAAGGGUGCAUCUUGCAGAUCCACUGCAACUAGCCCAAGUAUUUGGAAAGAGAGUUUACCUACUGUUUCAACAGGUAGGGGACAUAGAAAUAACCAGAUGUAAACAAGUCCUUCUAGAAGUGUUGGGAUAGUUGUUAAAUAAGGGACAAUGCUUUACUUUUCCUAAGACAUAGUACAGCUGUUCUUUGUUUGGAAAAUAUUAAGCAUUUCCACGAUAAUUUUUGCAAUAAUACACAUUGCAUGUAUGGAAGGGGUUGGGUAGAGACAACAGAGGAAAUUCAGUAUUCCCCUCUCGGAAAACAAUCCCUCAGAACUGGCUUAAUCGAAGAUGAACCAAAAAUCAGAACUUGAUCCAAAACAAAAUCUGACUGUAAACUGACCAGCCGGAUCUGCUGGAGGCUUCUUACUCCCGAAGAAUCAAACUGUGUCAGGUGGGACACCUUGGGUCAAUCCAUCCUUAGGAAAAGGUCCAUCAUCUCCUACAAGAGAAUAAUGUAGGAAGGAAACCAUAACCAUUCUUUUAAGGACCUAGACGGACAAUAUAAUUACACCAGUGUCACUUGCAUUGAUUGAUUUGAUACUUAUGUAAAUUUAUGCUGUAUCCUGGAACAAACAGAUGUACAGCUGUCUUGGGGUAGCUACAUGCAAUAAUAGCAGCCUACAGCAUCUUAAUAGUAGGUGUUGAGCAAACAGAUUCUAAUCUGUUCACAUUAAAUAAAUGACUCAUCCAAGGAAAAGUUUGAACAGAUGACACCUAUGCUAGUGUAAUGUAGGGUGUCGCCAGAUAUAGCUACCUUAUUGGUAUCAAAUGACAGUGAUAUAUAAUUUGUUAUGAACUGUUAUGUCCACAUACUCCUAUAGCAAUACAAGUGCAGCAAAACCAUUGUAGCUUUAGCCUUGAAAGAAAGCAGAUUACAGCAGUUUAGGUCACCCCUAUCUUUGUAGGUGGAACAGAUAAGUGCUGAUGUGGGUAACUCUCCCACCCCUUUUUAAAGCUGUUUAUGGUUGCAUCUAUUUUGUUGUUGUUGCUGUUGUUUUCUUUUUUUUUUUAGCUGUAAUCUAGUGUAGGUUCCCCUACCACCACCAGGGUCACUGUACACCUGAUUGGAGUAAACUUCACCAGCUUGGGCUUGUACAACCCACACCCAAACUUCUCUCUUUACAACAAUAGAAUUGUGCUGUGUCCAAGCCAUUAAAGUCAUGGGCUGGAGUAGGGCAAGGCCAACGCACCUUGUGUUGAAAGUUUCCAGGCAUUUCAGUAGUUAUAAUAAAGUAAAGGCAAAUUCAAAUUCCACCCUGAAUUCCCAUGAACAAAUGACUGUCAAAUCCCACGUUUUGAUGGCUUUUGCGAAAGCACUUGAUACAGUGCCGCAUGAGGAAAUUUUGUUAAGCUGAAGAAAACGAGGAAUUGUAAGGAGCUGGCUCAUGUAUGGCCAGAAGUGUAAAGUGUUUGAAAUGGGGGAAACAUCAGGUUGUAGAGAUGUUACUAGCAGAGUUCCCAAAGAUUUGUUUUAGGCUUGAACAGGUACAUAUUUUUCAUUGAUGGCUUUGGCACACACAGCAGGAGCAUGGUAAUGAGAUAAAGCAGAGGAUUUGGAUAGCCUACAUAAAGAAUGAGAUGAGUUUGAGGAUGGGGGUGGAAAAAAUGGAAUCGAGUAACACAGAACGCAAGGUUAGGAACUUGAGGGUGAACAACAAAACCUCUAUAAGUUGGGAGCCCAUCAGUCAGAAAUGACUGAGGUGGAGAAGGACCCUUGGGUUAUUAUUUGGUCUUGGGAUGACUAUAAGCUAUUAAUGCGAACCUGUGGCACAUAAGGAGUAUUAUUUUCAGUAGAGGUAAGGAAGUACUAGCAGAGCUGGCCUUAAGGAAAAUAGUGCCUUGGGUGACCUUGUGUUUUGGCUCCCUAUACUCCCUCCUGCCCUGCCCCAGGGGUCACUGUGGCCUGGCUUGGGUUGUCACAUCUCCUUUUCUUCCCCUGCUGCUUCUCAUGGCCCCAUUAGGUAGAGGUGGUGCCAUGCUCCCCCUUCUGCUUCUUACCCCCAUGACCCAGAGACAGGGAUAGGCUGUCUGUAGCUUGAGAUGCAGCUAAAGGAAAAAUGAUGCAGGGAUGACACCAGUGCUCCCCCUUGCUGCAGCUCCUGGUGGCAGUGACAUAGGCAGCCUGAGAAGGGUGAGGCAGGGGUCUGGGGUCCUGGCCUUGGGUCUCGCCUGCUAGUGCUAGCAGCAGCCCUGUGGUCAUCACCCUGCAGUGAGUGGGGGUAGGCAGAGCUGGGCAGGGUGGACUCAGUAGCUGUGCCUGAGCUGAAUUGCAGCUUAUUCAUGCUUCCACAAACAGGCACAGAACUUGCAUGUCCUUACCUGUGUGAAUAAGAUUUCAAAAGCCAGCAGUUCCCUAUGUAAAGGGGCAGAUGGUGUUUGUGCCUAGAGUGCAUGCAAGUCAUUUGAAUGACCUCUUAAGAAAAAAAAUUAGCAAGAAGUUAAAAAUAGACCAUACCAGACAGAAUGCAUCCUCUUUGGAAAGUAUUAAGACCUCUCUUAAAAUCUUUGCCAUACAGGAUUACAUUCCAAUACAGUAAGAAUCGACGUGGGUAAAAAUCAGCCCAGUUUUAAAUGUGUCAAAUGCCCCAAAUAUCUAUGGUCUGUUCUACCCAAAGAUUUUUCCGUGAUUGACUGAAAUAAGUCCCAAGUGAAUCUAAUAACUUACCACUGGUAAUAAGCAUUCAGAGUUAAGCUUGUAUCAGGUACAGCCAUGUAAAAUAUAAUAUUACUGAAUCCUAAUAACUUUCCAGGUAAUUGACCAGAGUUUUUGACAAUGAACAGUUUUCAAGGUCACAGUUUGCCACGUUCUUUUGGAAAAGUUUUCAAAAGGGUCUAAGAUCUCUUUCUUUCUUUUCUUUUUUCUCUUUGGCAGUGCAGAGUUGGACUUCCAGCUCACUAGGAAGUUAAAGUCCAGCAGGUCAACUUAAGUGUUUUAGGCUUUUUUGGUCAUCUUAGAACUUAGAUGCUAGCAAGAGCAGUCCUUCUGUUGCAGAGCUAUAAUGUUCACAAGGCAGAGAGUAAACUCUCAUGUACUGACUAGUAUGUGCAGCUGUCUUGGAUGUUUGUACAAGAAUUUCUGCUGAUGGCAGUUCUCCUGAAAUGAACCUCUAUGCAAAAUAUAUGCCUUUGAUAAUCUGCCAUUGAAAUGCUAGUGGGAAAUGUAUUUUGUUUUGUUUGGGGGGAGCAGGAGAGGGGCAAGAGACAGACACAUGCUAGUUACUGGGCAAAUAAGCUGGGGAAUCUAAUAAACUUCUGCUUGUUUUGAAAGUAGUAUACAAGUGAUCUAAUCUAGCCCCCAAAAUGUGUUUUGAAUUAGGCUUCAGUCAAGAGUGCCACUUGGCAGACAGAAAACCUUCGUGUAUCAAUCCUAUAAUCAGUACAGAAGGGCAAGUGAUUUCAAACUGCCUAUGAGCAAGACUCCUUAUGACACUUAUUCAAACUAUGUUCAGCAGAGGAAGUCUUCCUCUUAUGUUUCCUGAGCUGUAUAAUCUAAGCCCUCAGUAAGCCUUAAUGAGAAUACCAUCCCACUCCAAGUAGGAGCUAAAUAAUAUAACACGCAAAGAUGUAUGUACUUCCUGGUAAGCAGACCUGAGUGCUCACCAGUUAGGGAAAGGAGUUGUUAUGCCUUCGUGGCAUUAGAGAAGAGAAUGGAUAACCCAGCACUUGCUAUAGAAUUAGAUAUCAAAUAAGCUUCCUCUUCCUCUUCCAUUUUCUUGACGCACUGAAUUUUUGAGAUCGAAAUGCCUCUUACAAAAUUGGCCUGUUUCAAAAAUUCAAGCUGAAGUUGCUGCUCAUGGGGUCAUACUACUAUUCAUUAAAUACUGUUUUGUGACUGGCUGUUAGUGGAGUACCUCUCCCUGACAUGGAGGAACAAUCACUGUCUCAACUUCACAGGUUUGAAAGUAUCUGGAUCUGGCUUUUGUCAGGCAACUCCCUAACUGACCUCAGCAGGCUGAACAAGUGACUUCAAGAUCUCAUUCAGCUGCUCAUGAUUUCUGUGCCUACCAUAGCUGGAAAACUAGGCAGUGCUGUGCCACUCUAAUCAUAUGAUCAGAAAAAGACGGGUAGCUGGAGCUAAAAUAUAAGUUAUAUUUUGAAUUUGAUGUAAACAAAUCUGAAUGGUUGAUUUGCACACAAAUCCAAUACACGUCACCCUGUUCUGUAUCAUCUUUUUAUGCCAACUGUUCAUCAAUUUUGUUACUUCUCUUGUAACUCUAAAUUCUUAAUAGGUAUUCAGUUUUGUUCUUUGGGUAUGCUGUUAUGGUCCCAUCUAGCAGCAGUCCAUAAAUCUAGCAUGCCUCCUACUUCUCUUUACAUAAAUCUUCCAGUGUCUUAACUUUUUCGUCCAAUAUGUUCUCUACCCAGAGCGUUUAACUUCUUUCUUUUGUAGCUGACUGUUUACAGAUAUCUAUUUCCCCUUCUAACAACUUCAAGAGUUUCCCAGAUUAGAAAAGGAGAUACCUCUGGGGAGUUAUUGAAUGUAAUUGCUUCAAUAAUAUCUUUUGUUCAUUUCUGCAAGCAUUACAGGAUCUUUAAAGUACAUGUCAUUUCAGUUCCAGGAUCAUUAAAGUCACUUAUUUUCUCAG